UUCAGUGUAUUAAGCAGCUCUGAAGUUUUCAUACUCUGUUCUCUUAACACCCAAUGACAGCUGCAAAAGUGUGAAAUGUCACACGGUCAGGUUUGUGUUGUGCCUAAGAGGCUGUUCAUUUCACUUUCUGUUAUCUCUCUCAAGGGAAAAAUGCUCAAAACACUGCCGUACUGCUUAAAUCAGCGAAACAUUUCCCACAGCUCCCCGUCGCCAUUUCUGCUUUGGUUGCGUGGUGCUUGCAAACACAACAAAAUAGUGAUAACUUGCAGUAACUCAUGUUCCUGAUUCCAUAAGGCAUUUUCUUGGCACUUGCUAGUGCAACACAAUAAACCAUGGGAAUAUUAGUGGAGUUCCUCCUUCUGUUGGUACGCCAAGGGGGACUGGAGCUCCACCACACUGUAAUUUGCCAUGUCAUGGAUGUUAAUGUCAUUACAUCCUGAAGUUGAUGAAGCCAUUUGUGCUGUCUUAAUUAUAAAGGGCUAUGUCACUGUUAAUGUAAUCUAAUCUCAGUGGACAGCACUCAUCUUCAACCCAGUGUUAUGAUUAUAUUGAACCGCUGUAGUUUAAAGAGUAUACUUGGAUAACUGAAUAAGAAUAGAAAAUAUAGAUAAAAGGAGUAGUAACUACUUAAAUGUGCACAAUCAUUGAUCAUCACAACCAAAAUAAAAUGUAUUUAGCCUAGAUAAGUUCAUGGAAUGUAUUGUAUUACUCAUGCAUUUCACUAUAGAGCAUAAAAAGCCUUAAUUCAGAAAGUGCUGACAGUUUCAGUUUGCAAUGCAUUACAGUACAUGUAAUAUAGAUGUGAAUACAAUGUGCAUUUAUCAUUUAUUAAUUCAUGGAAUAGAAUCUGUGCAAUGCUCUGCUAUAUUGUUUGCAAUGCAAUUAUUGAUUCAAACCUUAGAUUUGUAGGUUUCAUAUCAUCUUUUCAUUUCACGAGUGUUUUAUGGACUCCGCUAUGUGAUUUCAUUCUAAAAGAGAAUGAGUUUCAUGAAAAGAAAUGUUGGGUCAGGGUUAUUAUUCAAGGCUCAGAGUGAGUAUGAACCUUAAAACAAUUGUCUUCUUUUACAUAGUUAUAUUGGGUAGAAUUUGGGUGUUUUACUUAAGUUUAAACAGGCAUUGGGACUGUUUGACAUCAGUCUGAUAAACUGUGAUGACCUAACUGAUGAUGUGUGUGUUUUAAUGUCCACUUAACUCAGUUAAAAGAACAAAUUGCAUGUUUGUAUACUCUAGAAUGCAAAUGUCAAUUAGUUAAACUAGAUUUUUUUAAAAAUGUAUCAUCAUUUGACUAUAAGAUGCAUAAUAUUAGGCUAAUCCCAUGUUAGUGUAAUUAAUUUCUGUAACAAAGAAUUACAGAAAUAUGUUGAAAUACAAAAAUAUGUUGACAAAAACUGAUUAUGUUGUUUAAAAUCAUUUUAUUUUGAUGGC
ensembl:lncRNA